rnacentral:rRNA from 2 species
GAGUUUGAUCAUGGCUCAGAGCGAACGCUGGCGGCAGGCCUAACACAUGCAAGUCGAACGGAUCCUUCGGGAUUAGUGGCGGACGGGUGAGUAACACGUGGGAACGUGCCUUUUGGUUCGGAACAACUCAGGGAAACUUGAGCUAAUACCGGAUGUGCCCUUCGGGGGAAAGAUUUAUCGCCAUUAGAGCGGCCCGCGUCUGAUUAGCUAGUUGGUGGGGUAAAGGCCCACCAAGGCGACGAUCAGUAGCUGGUCUGAGAGGAUGAUCAGCCACACUGGGACUGAGACACGGCCCAGACUCCUACGGGAGGCAGCAGUGGGGAAUCUUGCGCAAUGGGCGAAAGCCUGACGCAGCCAUGCCGCGUGAAUGAUGAAGGUCUUAGGAUUGUAAAAUUCUUUCACCGGGGACGAUAAUGACGGUACCCGGAGAAGAAGCCCCGGCUAACUUCGUGCCAGCCGCCGCCGU